UGGCGGCAUGCUUAACACAUGCAAGUCGAACGGCAGCGCGGGAGCUUGCUCCUGGCGGCGAGUGGCGGACGGGUGAGUAACACGUAGGAAUCUGCCUAGUAGUGGGGGAUAACUUGGGGAAACUCAAGCUAAUACCGCAUACGCUCUACGGAGGAAAGCGGGGGAUCUUUGGACCUCGCGCUAUUAGAUGAGCCUGCGGCCGAUUAGCUAGUUGGUGGGGUAAAGGCCCGGGAAAGCGACGAUCGGUAGCUGGUCUGAGAGGACGAUCAGCCACAUUGUCCCUGAGACACGGACCAGACUC
rnacentral:rRNA from 1 species